rnacentral:rRNA from 1 species
AUUGAACGCUGGCGGCAUGCUUUACACAUGCAAGUCGAACGGUAACAGGUCUUCGGAUGCUGACGAGUGGCGAACGGGUGAGUAAUGCAUCGGAACGUGCCCAGUCGUGGGGAUAACGCAGCGAAAGCUGCGCUAAUACCGCAUACGAUCUAUGGAUGAAAGCGGGGGACCGUAAGGCCUCGCGCGAUUGGAGCGGCCGAUGUCAGAUUAGGUAGUUGGUGGGGUAAAGGCCCACCAAGCCAACGAUCUGUAGCUGGUCUGAGAGGACGACCAGCCACACUGGGACUGAGCCACGGCCCAGACUCCUACGGGAGGCAGCAGUGGGGAAUUUUGGACAAUGGGCGCAAGCCUGAUCCAGCAAUGCCGCGUGCAGGAAGAAGGCCUUCGGGUUGUAAACUGCUUUUGUAUGGAACGAAACGGCUCUCUCUAAUACAGAGGGCUAAUGACGGUACCGUAAGAAUAAGCACCGGCUAACUACGUGCCAGCCGCCGCCGUAA